UCCCUGACAGUCCAGUGGUGACGACUCCUUGCUUCUAAUGCAGUGGGCACAGGUUCAAACCCUGGUUGGGGAA
rnacentral:tRNA from 1 species